rnacentral:rRNA from 1 species
CCUACGGGAGGCAGCAGUGGGGAAUUUUGGACAAUGGGCGCAAGCCUGAUCCAGCCAUGCCGCGUGCAGGAUGAAGGCCUUCGGGUUGUAAACUGCUUUUGUACGGAACGAAAAGACUCUGGUUAAUACCUGGGGUCCAUGACGGUACCGUAAGAAUAAGCACCGGCUAACUACGUGCCAGCAGCCGCGGUAAUACGUAGGGUGCGAGCGUUAAUCGGAAUUACUGGGCGUAAAGCGUGCGCAGGCGGUUAUAUAAGACAGAUGUGAAAUCCCCGGGCUCAACCUGGGAACUGCAUUUGUGACUGUAUAGCUAGAGUACGGCAGAGGGGGAUGGAAUUCCGCGUGUAGCAGUGAAAUGCGUAGAUAUGCGGAGGAACACCGAUGGCGAAGGCAAUCCCCUGGGCCUGUACUGACGCUCAUGCACGAAAGCGUGGGGAGCAAACAGGAUUAGAUACCCUGGUAGUCCACGCCCUAAACGAUGUCAACUGGUUGUUGGGUCUUCACUGACUCAGUAACGAAGCUAACGCGUGAAGUUGACCGCCUGGGGAGUACGGCCGCAAGGUUGAAACUCGAAAAGAGUAGUAGGCGUGAGAGUAGCGACGGAGGACACGAGGGAGGUUAGGG